AUUCGGGAGGGGGAAAGACGGUCAAAGCGCAAGUUCCAUUUAUACUUUCUCCAGACGCUGUUUUGUUGUAAAAUGAAGGACAGGGAAGACUAGAGUCCACAACCAGCAGUUUCCGUCUCUUUACCACCUUUCCCUUCCCCCUAGACGUUAAGUUUCAAAUAACGACCCUGCAUUAAUAGGACUCUCUCUCUCUCUCUCGCUGUUCCCUCGGAUAGUCGCCCCAAGUUCUUCUCGCCGAUCUCCGCCUCUCGCUUUCCGGCAUUGAUUUUCCGACGAUGUUUCUCCGGUAUGUGUGAGUGUCUCGUGUCAGAUGCUUUAUCAGUAACUUAUGAAGUGGAUUUGAUAGACUCCAGAGAAUUUGAGCAAUCAAUUGUCAGGCCCGAAGAAUAUGGUUGUACCUGGCAGUUGGUGUCAGAUGACAACAGGCACAGAAUGAAAAGAUCUGAAGCAUUUACUUCUAAGAAGUGAAUAUCCUUAUGCUUAUGCAUUUUAUGAUGAGGUUUCUUUGUUGCCUAUUUGUGUUCAGAGCACGGUUUAUUUCUUGAUGCACAUUAUUGUGAUCAUAAACUGGUGGCCCUUAGGUUUCUUUAUGCUCCAUUACCAUGGAAAUCAGGUUCAAAGCCGUUGAUGCAUUGGUGAUCAGUAGAAUGAAAAAAUGGUUGGGUGGCGUUUUGGUUGCAUCUUUGUUUAUGUUGCUGAUCAUGAGAUAUGGAGUCAUGAAAAAUCCUAUUGGGGACAGUUAUUUUCCAAGUCCAUUCUUCCCCAAUGCCACUAAUCCUCUUGAGUGGCUGAAUGCUGGAGCUCCACCCACUUUUCAAAAUCCAGAGAAUGCUUCUACAGUUGUUUCUGCUGAUACCAUAUUCUUAAGUCUCCUUGUUCAAAGGAACAUCUCCAGUGAAGAGCAAAAAACUCUGCAGACAUGGAACCAUUUGAAGCACUUGAUUAAUCAUGCUCAGGGUUUACCAAAUGCACUAGAUGCUAUCAAGGAAGCUGGACGUGCAUGGAACAGCCUUAUAGAUUCAGUUGAAGGGCAAAGACUCCAAUAUGCAAAUGAAAGUUCACAUGGGAGAGCAAAAGAGAAGCAGUGUCCUCAUUUUCUUAAUAAAAUGAAGGCUGCAGAGCUUGAUAAUAGAAGUUAUAAGUUGAGGGUUCCUUGUGGCCUGACUCAGGGUUCUGCCAUUACAAUCAUAGGAAUUCCAAAUGGUCUUCUUGGUAAUUUCCGUAUUGACUUAACCGGGGAAUCACUUCCAGGGGAGCCUGAUCCACCCAUCAUCUUGCAUUACAAUGUAAGGCUUCAUGGUGAUAAGAUAACUGAGGACCCUGUAAUUGUCCAAAACACCUGGGCUGUAGCUCAUGAUUGGGGUGAAGAGGAGCGUUGUCCAUCCCCUGCCCCUGAAAAAAUAAAGAAAGUGGAUGAUUUGGAUCAGUGCAACAAGAUGAUAGGGAAAGAUGAUAACCAUCUCCUCAUGGCUAGCCGGCAUUCUAAUACUUCAAGACAGUCAUCAACUGUGCAAGAAGGAUCUAAGACCAAAAAAUACUUCCCUUUCAAGCAAAAUUAUCCAUUUGUUGCAACACUUAGAGUGGGAUCAGAGGGGAUCCAGAUGACUGUUGAUGGGAAACACAUAACAUCUUUUGCUGUCCGAGAAACAUUGGAACCAUGGCUUGUAAGUGAAAUACGAAUUUCUGGAGACCUGAAGUUAAUUUCUGUCCUCGCCAGUGGUUUACCUACAUCAGAGGAUUCUGAGCAUGUAGUUGAUUUAGAAGCACUCAAAUCAGCUCCCCUCUCUUCACAAAAACCAUUGGAUCUCUUGAUUGGGGUUUUCUCUACUGCAAACAAUUUUAAGCGUAGGAUGGCUGUUCGAAGGACGUGGAUGCAGUAUCCUGCAGUGCGGUCAGGGGCAGCUGCUGUGCGAUUUUUUGUUGGUUUGCAUAAAAACCAAAUAGUGAAUGAGGAACUAUGGGAUGAGGCACGGACAUAUGGAGACAUUCAGUUGAUGCCUUUUGUUGACUACUACAGCCUCAUCACAUGGAAAACUUUAGGAAUCUGCAUCUUUGGGACUGAGGUUGUUUCAGCAAAGUUUGUCAUGAAGACAGAUGAUGAUGCGUUCAUACGUGUAGAUGAAGUGCUGGCUUCUCUAGAUAGGAUCAAUGUGACUAAAGGGUUGCUUUAUGGGCUCAUAAACUCGGAUUCCCGGCCACAUCGCAAUCCUGAAAGCAAGUGGUAUAUCAGUCCCGAGAACUUCUUGGCAUUCUAGAAUUUUUCUUAUUAUAAGCACAUAGGUAAUAAAGAAAAAGUAAGAGCAUUAGUAUCAUGUAAGCUCUUGCUCACUUGGUUAGGGGGGAAGGGAACAAUUAGCAUUAUAUAUCUUUCAAAACUGCUACGUACAACCAGCUUGUGCAACCGCUGUGUAACCGGUUGACUACCACAUCAGCAUCUGUCAGAAAAACUUAAAAAAAAAAAACAGAGAGAAAUUUGAGAAAAGUAGAGCCUCAGGAAGAAGAUAAUCCAUUGGACUGUAAACAUCUGAGAAGAAGUAGAACCUUGGGAAGAAGAUUUGUGAAAAGUUUCAUAUUUGAGUGAAAGCAUUUCGCACAGAUCGCACAGAGAAUUUACACUGUAAGCAUUUCAAUCAUCUGGGAAGAAGAAUGUUGUUCGAGUGAGGGCAUUUCGAUGGAAAGGUGGUGCUGAAGCCAUGCCAAAACCCAUUUCAAAGGAAAGGAAGAAGACCAUGGAAAAGACAACAGAGUGGAAGCAACCCAUCUUUUGUCACCUUCAAUCUUUUCAUCUUCUUCUAGUAUAGACAACUAAGACAAGGAAGAGUCACCCAUCUCCAUCUCUCUCUCUCUGUCCAAAAAUACGUUCUAAGUCUCCUCUUUUUAUCUCCCAUUCAUUUCCUUUCUGUGACUUGCUCCACGAUGAGGAGUAUAGCAUCUUGUUACAGCGAACAUGCCGUUAAGGUGUCCGAUUUGUAUUGCUCGGGCCCUUCAAACCAGCUUAAUCUCUCAACAAAGAUGAUUCCUUCGAUUCCAAAUGCAGUGAGAUGUAUAUACAAAGCCAAACUCUCGACCCAAAAGCAGCUCUUGAUCACGCUCAAUUGGUGCAAUGAAUUUAUGGGCCAAGGCUUCAUCAUUAACAUCGAUGACAACACAUCGUCCCCUUCUAAUUGUCAACGAAUGCAAAAGAGCGAAGGCAUGGGAAGGAAGACAAGAAGGGAGGGGAGAAAGGAGAAUGCCUGCGGGAAGGAAGACCCACUUCAAAGGAGAAGGGUUGUUCGAGAAGGGAGGGGAGACCGGAGAAUGCCUUGUUGCAAUUCGCAGGAGGAAUGAAACGGUGUGUUUUGACUUUAAAUGAAACACACCGAUUCAUUAAACAUGAAAUCCUGCCCGUGUGUGAGUUAGAUUUUCUUCUCCCUACCUACUGUAAUGUAAAAUGAAACACAGCGUUUCAUUUAAUGACGUGGAGACUCCCUGCCGGUUGCACAGGCCGGUUGCAAGAAGCAUUAUUCUAUAUCUUUUGUGUGCGAGAAUGGCCUGGAGAGAGGUAUCCUGCUUGGGCGCACGGUCCUGGUUAUGUGGUGUCACAUGACAUUG